CUGGCCCUCCAGCUCCGGCAGCCCGCCAGGUAUGAUUCCACACCUUUAUAUGGUACAUUAUGCUUGGCAAAGGACUAAUGUAUGAUCAUUUAAUCAUAACAAGUGGGUGACAACAUAGCCUUGAGAAAAUUUGUAACUGUUUGAAUAUAACUUUAAAAUUCAAACUACAAAAAAACCAAAUUAACUCAUUGAAUGGCCUGUACCUCAUAAGGAAUAUGGAAGGAUAACCUAUUGGGAGGCAUUACUGAUGUGUGCCAUGUGCUAAGCUUGAGCUGCAAAGUGGAACGACAUGAAAAAUACGGAAGCUUCCCGUGACCAUAUACUAAAGGAAGGAUAAGAAUUGAUUUGUGUUUAAAUCAGGAUAAGAAGAACCUCCACGUAAUCAGGUUACCACAAAAAAGGAUUUUUUAAAUAGUACUGGCUAUUAAACUUAUGAAAAUGAUUAAAAAA